AAGGGCUUCAAGAUUAGAGGGCCCAAUAGCUUCAUUUCAGAAAUAGAAAAAUAGACUCAGAGAUUAAGUGACUUGUUCAAAGUCACACAGCAAUUAAGUUUCAGAACUAGAAGAAAAUCCCAGUUUUCUGGCUCCCAUUUCUAUGCUCUUUCUCCCCAAUAUGCAAUGACUAGACAUCCUGGACUUUCCAGGACAGUCUUAAAGUACACUGUAAGUGUACUUAAACUUUUAUCUCCGUUUUAAAGUUUAUAAAAUACAGUCGCUUCAUUUCUCUCAGCCAGUAGGUUCAACUUCUUUUCUCUUAAGAGAGAGUUUUCCCCGUUCAUCUGUGAUCCAAAUCCACUGACAGCUUUUCCUGUUUUAGUAAGUGCUAAUAGUGCUUGGAAGUCUUGGGAAGUCUUGGGAAGGCACCCUGGGAAGACUUGGAAAGGCCCUUCAUUUAGGAAGAGUACAAACCAUUUCUGUGCCGUGAACGCUCUCUGGCAGGUGCAAGUUGAUUAGGAAGAAAGGAAUGGAAGAAAAUUCAGAUGUGCCGUAUACAGUGUCAGUAAAGCGUCUUCCUUCAUCUGCUUCAGAAAUGGAAAUUAUGGGCUCAGGGGCUCAAGUUCCAGCUCUCUUAUCACUAUGGAAUGAAGGCCUCAUCCAUCUUCAGCCUUCAGAAAAAGGAUGGGCCUCCAAGGAGCCUCCCAACAGAUUGGAUGGCAAGGUGCCCCCCAUCAGCCCCAGUGGUCUCCCCCUCCGGCUCCUACAGCCCACCCAUCUGGUCCACACAAUUAGCACCUUCUUACAUCCUGUCCUAUCUUCCACUGUCUGCACAGUAUGAUUUAGCACUUUAUUAGAUCAGCAUAAACGCGCUUAUAUGUAACACUAUCUUGCUCCCUGACUCACGGGUGUGUCUUAUCUCCCCCAACUAAAUCAGACAAAAAUUUCGUCUGAGUUUUCUCCUGUGUCUUAUGGCAUCCAGCACAUAAACAGGAAUUCUGUAAAUCCUGUCCCUUUGAUGACUGACCUCCUGGAAGUAUUAAUCCCCAAAUACCAGCACUCGAAUUUCAAGCUGCCAUUUCUCUACUUUUGUCAUCAGGUGCAUCAUUUGUCAAAACAUUAAAUGUACCAGCGGAAAGAAGUAGAUAUCACUUUUGUGGUCCCCCUACCUCUUUUUAAAAGUGGAAAUCAACUGUUGGACUCCAUCGAUUCCCCAUGAAGCCCCUGGCCUGGCUCCCAUCCUGGACCCAGGCAGAGUGCGGACCGACAGAGAAGGCAUCCCUCCCACCCCACCUUCCGCCCUUGACCUCGGGUCUACGGACGGACGUUUCAGACGCACGAAGCUUGCGGAGCACGAACUGCCCAGUUAAGUCACAAUCCUCACAGAGAAAGCAAAGCAAAACAGCAGCGCCAACAGCAGAUCCCCAAAGCGGCGCGGGGCCAACGCAGAGGAGAGCGGCCAGGAGGGGGCGAGGCAGACCACUUUGAAGUGCGCCCAACAGGAGGCCCGUCGCGUCCAAGAGGAGCAGGCCGAGCGCCCGCGCGCCCUGGCCGGGUGCACCGGGGAGCCAGCGGCCUUGGUCGCUCACCGCCCAGGGUAGACGUGAGGGCCGUCCGUCCCCUCCUCCGGCCUCGCGGAAAACCCGGGCAGUGGGAGGUGCCCGACCCUGGUCCCACCAUCCUGGCAAAGGGCGCCCCAUCAUCGCCUGCCCGGGGAUGCCCCAGCGGGUGUCAGUCGUGUGAGCUCAAGACAACAAGGACCGAAGAGUGGUCUCAAAGUCUUGAGUAAACACCGCGUCUUCUCAGCAAAACCGAAACCCCUCCAGAGAAGUCUCUGGGGGCGCAAAUGACUCGGGUCGGCAACUCAGCGCUGGCCUUGGGGAGCCCCCAAGCUCUGCAAAGCACCCAUGUCAGCAGGUGCAUUUGGUUUCAAGGAGUGGAAAAGGCAGUCAGGAGGAGGAAAUCAUUCGCAUUUCCAGUGGGAAGCGCGGAAGGUGUCGUCGGGGUCGGCGCCAGUCACCUGUCUUUCUGCCACUAGGUGGCGCCAGAGGCACGUCGACUUUGCAUACCUACAGGGCUCGGGGGAAGGUGCUGCCAAGUCUGAGCCCCGCGUCCUGGUUCCCUGCUCAGCUCCUUGUACCUCGAAUCUAGGCCCAGAGGAAAAACCGCAUUUACACACUCCCUUCACCCUGUCCCCAGGAAAUAUCAAGGACUUUGAAGCGAGGCUGGGAGCUAAACAACCAAGUGGGAGAAACAAACAAACAAACCCAUAAAGACGGCUUCAUGUUA